rnacentral:tRNA from 1 species
AGUGUCCAGGAGCGGGAAUCGAACCCACAACCUUCUGCUUACCGGGCAGGUGCCAUGUCCACUAGAUAUUAUAAAUGAUACAC